UUACACCAUGACACCAUUGCCACAUGAUUGGAAUUAAACCAAGGCAGAAUACUGCCCUUUAUGCAUCAUCAACAACAAGGUCCUUUCAUUAUCCGUUCCACCAUCCUGCAACACCAUGGGAAACCAGCAAAUGAAGGCAUCUCCAAUAGGAACAUAUCCAAAGCAGUAUCACACAUGGUCCCUGGGUUAGCAAUAGAUUGUCACCCGUGUUCAUUCAUACACCAGUCAGUAGCAGUAAAAGUCACAUACAAAAGAAAAGAAUCAGUCCAUGGCAGAGUUUGAAUACUGGAAUUUGAGCCAACCACCUCAUUGCAUGCAUUUCUUACACUUCAAGCAUAACAAACCAUCAGUCAAACCAAUGCAAGGAUCAGAAACCAAACUGAAGGCAAAGUUACACACAAACUGAACCUAACAUAGAAAUGUAUAACCAUGGAUCUAACAGACACAUGAUAGGAAGCAUGAGCAGGCCAAGAUAUUCACAUUAUAUUAAUGCAAUGGAGCAACAGUCAUCACAUACUGCAUCCAGUUUUCACAAGCCUACAAUCACUAACAUUGAACCAGGUCUAAACCAAAAUGGACAGAUUUGCACUUCUGGCUCCAUGACCAUUGCUACUGUAUGAUACCAACCAGUGAAGCAAAGGUUUUUUUUUAAAUUUGGUCUGUCAAAUGCAAGUGUUACCAUCAAAAUACAAGGCCAUUAAGUUGUAACAGGAACCAAGACCAUACACAUACACCUGUCAAAGUUGUAAUGGACUCAAGUAGACAUGCAAAAAUGGCAGUGGUGCAGAGCAAAAAAACCAAACAAGCAUACCAUACAUUUAUAAUAAUCUAACAUCAAAAUACCAACUAUAACAGGUGCACAACAAAAACCCACAACAGCAAUACGUAGCUCACAUCAUGCAUGGCAACAUUCAGCAACACAAAUCAUAUAGCACUUAACAACUUGCCUCACAACAUUGCAUCAUCAAGACAUCUAAUGUACAAGCUCCUUAUGGAAGACCUGUUAUGACCCUAUGACAAGCUGCAUAGCCAUGUCAUACCAAUCAUCAUUGUCAUGCCAAUCACAAUUAUGCAAUAACUUAAUUGAUAAAUGAGCACAAGCAGGCCAUGACAGAUUUGGAAAAGGAUCCACCUGCACCAACAACAAAGCCUACAACAAGGUAUCAAGUUCAGGCCUAGCCAAUCAACAAAAUGCAUUAGUGUACAACCAACUAACUAACCAAGCAAUAAUUGGCAGUUUCUCACUAAUUGGAAUUAAGUCUAACAGCUAACAAUAUUUUUAGUUAUGGCAACUCACCAAUCAAACACUUCUCCUCAAAGCCUAACUAACAAGUGAAUCCAACUAACUGCCCACUCAAUGAGUUAACAUAUUGAACUCACUGAGUUCAUCACAACUAACGCCUAAGCUGAUUCCAAACCUAAUCAUAACAAAAUCCUAAGGAAAGCUGACUUCAAACCUCACUCCUAUAUAAUUCAUUCUCCAUCACCAUUUUGAGGACAUUUGGAUUGAGCCACCAUAUUCUGCACUCUUUGAAUUUUCUCUUUCUCUCUCUAAACCUUACAUACACACACUGAUCAGAAGCCGUUGAAGCUAUUUAUCAGAGCUUCAAUUAGCUUGUGCUAAGCCUCCUCAUCAAUCCAAACUCCCUUAGUCCACCACUCUCGGAUUCAGAAGAAGGAGAAGAAGAGGAAUUCACAGCCAAUAUAGGAGUGAGUAGUUGAAACCAUUACCUGGAAGUAGACUCUUAUUCCUCACCAUUUCGGUAAGGCACCAUGAAGAACUUCUUAUUUUUAUUUAAUAAUCGUUACCACCGUGUAGAGUAUGAUGAGAGGGUUCAAAGCCCUUAUACCAAGGGCUUUGAAUCGCUGUAGUGGGGAUUUAAUUUGAAGAAGCAACAUUAGGGUUCUUGAGGUUCUUUGAUUCGGUUAGAGGUGUGGAGGAUUGUUUUCAUUGAAAUUAUUUAAGAAUCCAGUUAGUGUGCGAGAGGAUGGUCAUUUUGGUAGCUCCAACUUGCAUUUUGGUGGCCACCGCCGCCAAAAGCGUUUUCCAGCACAGUGGCCCGUGACAGAGGGCCGACGAGACAAAUGGAAGGGAAUGG
rnacentral:lncRNA from 1 species